rnacentral:rRNA from 1 species
UUAAAUUGAAGAGUUUGAUCAUGGCUCAGAUUGAACGCUGGCGGCAGGCCUAACACAUGCAAGUCGAACGGUAACAGGAAGAAGCUUGCUUCUUUGCUGACGAGUGGCGGACGGGUGAGUAAUGUCUGGGAAACUACCUGAUGGAGGGGGAUAACUACUGGAAACGGUAGCUAAUACCGCAUAACGUCGCAAGACCAAAGAGGGGGACCUUCGGGCCUCUUGCAAUCGGAAGGACCCAGAUGGGAUUAGCUAGUAGGUUGGGUAACGGCUCACCUAGGGGACGUGCCCUAGCUGGUCUGAGAGGAUGACCAGCCAAACUGGAA